GUGCCAGCCGCCGCGGUAAUACCGGCAGCUCGAGUGAUGUCCAAUAUUAUUGGGCCUAAAGCGUCCGUAGCUGGCCGCGCAAGUCCGUCGGGAAACCCACCUGCCCAACAGGUGGGCGUCCGGCGGAAACUGUGUGGCUUGGAACCGGAAGGCUCAGAGGGUACGUCCGGGGUAGGAGUGAAAUCCCGUAAUCCCGGACGGACCACCGAUGGCGAAAGCACUCUGAGAAGACGGCCUCGACAGUGAGGGACGAAAGCGAGGGUCUCAAACCGGAUUAGAAACCCCAGUGUCC
rnacentral:rRNA from 1 species